AGACAGCUCGCGCGCCUCCACAAGCCAGGCACAGGGCCCGGCCCUUCAGCAGCCGACGGCGGCGCCUAGCUCCCGCGUACUGAAAAAGCAACGGAUCGAUGGCAGUUUUAUCCUGAGGCCUUGUAGGCGGAAUAUUCAGUGUCAGCGGGGAGAGAUUGGAGAGACGGGCCGGAGCCGCGCUUAACUGGCGCUGUUUCAUCGGCGGCUGGAAGGUAUCGACAGGCGCCACUCGAGGCCAACAGCUGGAAGCGAGUGUCCAGAGAGAGGGAGAGGGGUGGAGGAGAUAAGGGCGGCCCGGAAAGAAUAGCGAGGGCAUCAACAGCGUAUGGCGGCCAGCAUGCUGGCCAGAGGCGACGCGACGCCGGUGUCAGCCGCGGUGCGUGAGUGCGUGAGGCGCGCGCGGCCGGUGCGUGA